rnacentral:rRNA from 1 species
UACGUAGGGUGCAAGCGUUAAUCGGAAUUACUGGGCGUAAAGCGCGCGUAGGCGGCUUUGUAAGUUAGAGGUGAAAGCCCGGGGCUCAACUCCGGAAUUGCCUUUAAGACUGCAUCGCUAGAAUUGUGGAGAGGUAAGUGGAAUUCCGAGUGUAGAGGUGAAAUUCGUAGAUAUUCGGAAGAACACCAGUGGCGAAGGCGACUUACUGGACACAUAUUGACGCUGAGGUGCGAAAGCGUGGGGAGCAAACAGG